UUCGAUCUGGCUCAGAACGAACGCUGGCGGCAUGGAUUAGGCAUGCAAGUCGAACGAAGCAGCAAUGCUUAGUGGCGCAAGGGUGAGGAACACGUGAGUGACCUACCCGCAAGUUUGGAACAGCUCCUGGAAACGGGAAUUAAUACCGGAUGUGAUCAUGAAGCUGCAUGGUUUCAUGAUUAAAGCAGCAAUGCGCUUGCGGAUGGGCUCGCGUCCAUUAGCUAGUUGGUGAGGUAACGGCCCACCAAGGCCAUGAUGGGUAGCUGGUCUGAGAGGACGACCAGCCACACUGGGACUGAGAACUGCCCAGACUCCUACGGGAGGCUGCAGUCGAGAAUUUUGGGCAAUGGACGAAAGUCUGACCCAAGCAAUGCCGCGUGCGGGAUGAAGGUCUUCGGAUUGUAAACCGCUGUUUGGAGGGACGAAAAUUGACGGUACUUCCAGAGGAAGCCACGGCUAACUACGUGCCAGCAGCUGC
rnacentral:rRNA from 1 species